GGUUUUGCUGGUUUGCAUCUCAGCUUGGCGUCUGUUGCUGUGCAAAUCCAUGCAAAACUGA
rnacentral:pre_miRNA from 1 species